GUUGUCUCUGUUCUUAUGAGCUCCAUCUUCGCGUCUGCUACUGGCAGUGCUUUUGUGAUCAUGAUCACAUAAACAUCCACGUCAUCACUCAUCUUAGUGUGCGCCGGCUCCUGUGGGUCAACUGCUCUUGACAAUGUGUCCGCUGUGUACAUCAGCUUGCCCGGAGUAUACAUUACAUUCAGCAAGUAGCGUUGCAGCCGGAUCACUCAUCCUCUGUAUUCUCAGUGGGCAGUCAUUGAGCGGCUUUUGAAACAACGCGAUCAGCGGCUUGUGGUCAGUUUCAACGCUUAUGUUCUGUCCUGAAACAAACUGGUGAAAUCUUUCACAGGCAUAUGUUAUGCUGAGCAGUUCUUUCUCAAUUUGUGCAUAUCGUGUCUCUGCGUCUGUCAUUGAGCGCGAUGCAUAUGCGAUUGGUUGCCAGUCAUCAUAUUUUUGUAAAAGAACAGCUCCCGAGCCCACUCUGUGAAGCAUCUGAUGAGAUUUUUAUGGGCUUCACUGGAUCAUAAAACCUCAGAACUGGUUCUAAUGUGAGCUGUGUCUUCAGUUCUUUCCAUGACUUUUCAUGUUCAUGACUCCAUUCCCAUUCUGUCUUCUUUUCAGUCAGCUGUCUCAGAGGUGCCAUGCGUUCAGAGAGAUUGGGUAUGAAUUUCCCCAUGUAGUUUUUCAUGCCAUUAAAUCUCCGUCUGUCCUUCUUACAUUGUGGCUUUGGCAUGUUCUCUAUUGCAGGCACUUUCCUGGGAUCUGGUCUGAUGCCCUCGCUGCUCAGGAUGUCCCCCACAAAUGUUAGUUCUUUCACCCCAAGCUGGCAUUUCUCUUUAUUCAGAUUUAAGUUUGCUGUUUUUGUUGCCUUGAGAACUUGCUUUAGCCUCUCAUCGUGUUCAGAUUUUUGUUCCUCUUUUUAUUGCUCUGUUCAAGUUUCUGGGAUCCAUACACACUAGGCUUACCAUUUUUCUUCUCUACAAUAACAAGCGAACUCACCCAGUCAGUUGGCUCAUCAAUCUUUUCGAUCACGUUGAGGCUUUCCAUCCUGUCCAACUCGGUUUUCAGUGGCUUUUGAAGAGCAAAUGGCACUUUUCAACAUGGGUUAAUAACUGGUGGCACAUUUUUAUCCACUCUGAUUGUAUGUUCUCCAGGAAGCCAUCCAAGACCCGGAAACAGGUCACUGUACUCUUCCAUCAGUUCAUCAUAGACUGUUUCUCAAUCACUUUCCACCACAAGCACCUAAACCUAAUAUGGCCUGCACAUCUCUGUGCACCACGACGAAUGCGAGUGUGUGUUC
ensembl:lncRNA